UGAACGCUAGCUACAGGCUUAACACAUGCAAGUCGAGGGGCAGCAUGGUCUUAGCUUGCUAAGGCCGAUGGCGACCGGCGCACGGGUGAGUAACACGUAUCCAACCUGCCGUCUACUCUUGGACAGCCUUCUGAAAGGAAGAUUAAUACAAGAUGGCAUCAUGAGUCCACAUGUUCACAUGAUUAAAGGUAUUCCGGUAGACGAUGGGGAUGCGUUCCAUUAGAUAGUAGGCGGGGUAACGGCCCACCUAGUCUUCGAUGGAUAGGGGUUCUGAGAGGAAGGUCCCCCACAUUGGAACUGAGACACGGUCCAAACUCCUACGGGAGGCAGCAGUGAGGAAUAUUGGUCAAUGGGCGAGAGCCUGAACCAGCCAAGUAGCGUGAAGGAUGACUGCCCUAUGGGUUGUAAACUUCUUUUAUAAAGGAAUAAAGUCGGGUAUGCAUACCCGUUUGCAUGUACUUUAUGAAUAAGGAUCGGCUAACUCCGUGCCAGCAGCCGCGGUAAUACGGAGGAUCCGAGCGUUAUCCGGAUUUAUUGGGUUUAAAGGGAGCGUAGAUGGAUGUUUAAGUCAGUUGUGAAAGUUUGCGGCUCAACCGUAAAAUUGCAGUUGAUACUGGAUAUCUUGAGUGCAGUUGAGGCAGGCGGAAUUCGUGGUGUAGCGGUGAAAUGCUUAGAUAUCACGAAGAACUCCGAUUGCGAAGGCAGCCUGCUAAGCUGCAACUGACAUUGAGGCUCGAAAGUGUGGGUAUCAAACAGGAUUAGAUACCCUGGUAGUCCACACGGUAAACGAUGAAUACUCGCUGUUUGCGAUAUACAGCAAGCGGCCAAGCGAAAGCGUUAAGUAUUCCACCUGGGGAGUACGCCGGCAACGGUGAAACUCAAAGGAAUUGACGGGGGCCCGCACAAGCGGAGGAACAUGUGGUUUAAUUCGAUGAUACGCGAGGAACCUUACCCGGGCUUAAAUUGCAGAUGAAUUACGGUGAAAGCCGUAAGCCGCAAGGCAUCUGUGAAGGUGCUGCAUGGUUGUCGUCAGCUCGUGCCGUGAGGUGUCGGCUUAAGUGCCAUAACGAGCGCAACCCUUGUUGUCAGUUACUAACAGGUCAUGCUGAGGACUCUGACAAGACUGCCAUCGUAAGAUGUGAGGAAGGUGGGGAUGACGUCAAAUCAGCACGGCCCUUACGUCCGGGGCUACACACGUGUUACAAUGGGGGGUACAGAGGGCCGCUACCACGCGAGUGGAUGCCAAUCCCAAAAACCUCUCUCAGUUCGGACUGGAGUCUGCAACCCGACUCCACGAAGCUGGAUUCGCUAGUAAUCGCGCAUCAGCCACGGCGCGGUGAAUACGUUCCCGGGCCUUGUACACACCGCCCGUCAAGCCAUGGGAGCCGGGGGUACCUGAAGUGCGUAACCGCGAGGAGCGCCCUAGGGUAAAACUGGUA
rnacentral:rRNA from 1 species